rnacentral:hammerhead_ribozyme from 1 species
GCACUGCGAAGGAGUCCCACAAUAGGACGAAACGGCCGUCCAGUGC